rnacentral:rRNA from 1 species
AGAGACAGCAGCAGCCACGGGAAUACGGAGGAUCCAAGCGUUAUCCGGAAUCAUUGGGUUUAAAGGGUCCGUAGGCGGUCUUGUAAGUCAGUGGUGAAAGCCCAUCGCUCAACGGUGGAACGGCCAUUGAUACUGCAGGACUUGAAUUAUUGGGAAGUAACUAGAAUAUGUAGUGUAGCGGUGAAAUGCUUAGAGAUUACAUGGAAUACCAAUUGCGAAGGCAGGUUACUACCAAUUGAUUGACGCUGAUGGACGAAAGCGUGGGUAGCGAACAGGAUUAGAUACCCCAGUAGUCCCUGUCUCUUAUAC